AAAGACUCGACAUACUCAGAUAGACUAUGACAGACUCUGACAUCACCUAAAAGUCUCCAUACUACUGGACAAGACAAUAAAGUAAAAUAAAAUAUGAAAAUAGACUCAAAAAUUUAAAAAGUCUCCUCAAACAACUCCUAAAGGCAAUGAUCCUGGCUGGGAUGGUCCUGGAGCGUCUGUCAUGCUCAAACUCUGGUAAAUGGAACAAUAAUUGAAUUAGAAUAAUAAGAUCAAAUAAAGUUAGUGACUCAAGACCCUAUGUGAGACCAUAACACUUCCUAUUGAACACAUGCAAUACACGAAUAAGGUUAUUUUUUAAAACUGGCCUACGUGGCUAGAAGCGUAAACUCAAUAAGGGUGACCUCUAAGACAUGGAAACACCUCACGAAGGUCUAUAUGGCCUUAAACUUCAAGGAAUCAUAAUCUCAAGAAUUACUUUGCAAAAAUGACCCCUUUGCAAAAAUUAUCUAUGUGGCCAGAAAUGGCUGAGCACGCAAAUUCAACAGGUAUAGAACUUAAACUAAUAGGAUACCUUGUUGUGGGCUUAGGACUCUAAUACAUGAUUUAACAAGACACUUUUGCAAAAAUAUCCCUAUUUUUCAAAGACGAUUGAUGUGGCCAAAUGUGGCUAGACAUGCAAGACUUGGCUACGACCCCCGAAGCCAAGAACUUGAGACUCACUCGGAAGACCGGACCCUAUGUGGGUUUCCUAUGUAUCCCCUCUCCCCGAAAGACGAGAAUCCGGUAUGCGUAGUUCGGGAGGAUUGGAUGUAGGAGAAAGCUUUGAAAAAUGCAACUGAUUUGGAAAAAACUAUUUUUGUCUUUUUGAAAAAUGAUAUGAAGAAACUGUAAAUUCUCUUUUUUCUUUUUGUUUUUAAUCUUUUUAGAAAACUGGGGAAAAAACUAAAAGUGAUAAAAAAAUUCAAUAUUCUCUCUUACUUUAUUUUUUCACCCUUCUUUCCCAAAUAUCAGUCCGCCAAAUGACCUUUUGACCCUCAAAGAUGCAACAUUUAGCACAUAGGAUGAUUGGAUGUCAUUUUGGCCCAUCGGGCCCAUUUGACAUAAUUUAGACAGGCUUACUACAAAGGAACACGAUACCUAGGACCAGGCCGUUCUAGGUCAUAAUGAUAUGAUGCACGUAAUCGUGAUCUAAAGGCUCACCUACGUUUGGGGUUCACUAACAAGGCAAUUCGGGGGAGCUUAUGGUCGAUGGUGGCUGCUCAAGCAUUUCACCCACUCCAUACGUCUGACGACCCUCCCCCCCCCCCCCCCAAAACUAAGUGUGACUUAGUAAAGAGUUCGUGCACGCGACGCGUACGACGAGACUUGUUGCAGAAAGAAUUGACCUAGAGUUAUACAAAUGAUGACAGUUAUAAAGCAGUAACACAUAAAGGAAAAUGGUAAACACAUAAAUAACUAGCAAAUAAAAUAAAACUAAAUAAGAAACAACAAAACCAAAUAAAGAACAUAAAAAAUCUCAACCAAAUAUUCUAAAAAGCCAACAAGAUCAAGUAUCAGCUCGAACCUGCAAUUCCCAGCAGAGUCGCUAAAGCUGUCACACCCUUUUUUUUCUUAACCCUCUUUAAAAGAGAUAAAAGGAUUUUUAAGCUCAAAAAGAUUUUCAAUCAAAAAUUGAAAAAAAAUUGUUCAAAAGGAAUUUUCUCAGAGUCGCCACUUGACCUGAAUCUCGGUGUGCCAAGUCACCGCUUAAAAGCAAUUUUUCCUUAAAAAUAUUUUUGACUCUAAAACAUAGUUUGCAUGAGAAAUCCAAGUAAGGAGGUUCAUUUAACUCAGGGACAAGGUGUUAGGCACUCUCCAAGUCCCGUAACUAGUACGGUUGCAUAAUUUAUCAGAUUGGCUUUUAAGAAUAUUUCGAUUGAGGUAGAGACACAUAAAAGCGAAAAUAAACACAAAAGCGGCUCGAGGUCGUCCCUACCUAAUAAAAGAAAAAUAAGAGAAUAGCAAAGAAAGAACUAAAAGAAAAUAUACUAAAAAUCUAAUCUAUCCUACACUGCUUCCUUCACGAUGCUCGUCACGGCCUCCAAAUAAAAGUACUACGGGACAUUCCCCGGAUAAAUAAUAAACUAAAGGGACGAACUCUCACCUUGAAUAAAAGAAAAGACCUAAAGUUUGCCUACCCAAGUGUGGUCGGCCUAAACAUGCUACUAGCGAAUAAUAUAACAAAAUAAACAAAUAAAUAAAACAUAGCUAAAUAAAAGAAAAACUCUAAAUCUUGCUCAUAUUUUUAUUUAUUUAAACCUAGCCCAAUUCUUAAGCAUGCAAGUCAAGGUUAAUAGCUAACGGGCUCGAUCUUCCCACUUCCCAAGACCCAAUAUCAUUUAACAAAAUGUGCGGAAGGAAAAUAAUCAUUCAAUCACAACAUCUUUCCAAAUCGCAUGAAACUAGCAUGCAAAUAAAAUAAAAUAAAAUAAAGGAAAGAUAAAAAUAACAAAAUAAGGCUGAAUAAUGAAAGACAGAUUAUAAGUAUGAUAAGAGCUGUGUUAAAAUCCUAAUUGUGCCAUAUUAGCCCACUAAUGCCAUCUCUUAAUUCUAAAACCCCAAACAAAACAAAGUACUCAGUCACUGAAGUAAUAGUCUUUCACAAUUCAUCAUCCAUUUUUAAAACAAACGAUACACUCCGCUACAAUUCAUAGGAGAACAAAGUGAAUAAUUCUUCAUGACUCAUAGUCAUUACACUAGAGUUAAAAUAGAGAUACGUUUCAUGAAAAAUUCAUUUACACUAACCAACGAUGCCAUUAACAUGCUAUUUUCACAUAGUAAAUAAUUUCUAAACCAUUGACAGGCCAUUUUCAUAAAAUAGAUUAACCUUUUAUUCAAACAAGAUCCAAUUUCAAACUUAAUGUCUCUAACAUAAUUGGCUUGUCUCCAUAACUCAAGAUUAAUAUCACAUGGAUUAACUUUCUUUUGUCAAUUUGAGCACAUAAAACUUAAAAACCAAUAGCACUGCCUCAUAAGGAUUUUAUAGCAAGAGACAUUUGAGGCUAACUAGGAAUAUCACUCAUGAAUUCCAACAGAACAUGAAACUGAAACGAUCCAAACAAACCUAAUAGUUUAAUUAAGAUUCAUGCUGAAAAAGACAAGGAAGAUCAGUACAGAAAAUAUCAAGCAAACCAUGAAGCCAAGCAAUAAACUCUAUAUCUCAUUCGGAAUUAACAACCUCAACUGAAUUCGUUUCAUGUUCAUCCUCAUUUUUAACAAAUUUAACCGAGUUUUAAACCUUGAAACUCAUUUCAAACCAAAGCUCUUAUCAUACUUAUAAUCAGACCAAACAGUAAGAUAAUGAGAAGGGAAAUGGACCUGAAAUCGCUUUCCGAUAUAUUCAAAUUUUCGAUGAUUACAGCGCGAUGAGAACUCGAACCAGAAAUUGCAAACAACAGCAGCAAGAAUGAGGCAAGAACUGUGAGCUUGAACAAUGGAUGACAACUCGAAUCGACUUCAAACCUCAACCAACAUCCAUUUUGUUCUUGAACAAAAAUGUAAAAUAAGAACCAAUUUUUUUUUUGUAUUUUUCGAUUAUCAAAUGAAAACAAAACUGAUUUUUAUUUAUUUAUUUUUUAAUAUAUUAAUCAACUCUAGCAGAAAAUCAGAAGAAAAUUGGAGGAGAACCUAAAACCCUAACGUUUUCCUCUCCUCUUUUUCUUGUCCGAAAAUCCCUUUUUUAUAUCACUCUUUGGAACCUCCCUCCUUUUUUUCCAAGAAACAGUGGAUAAAAGUCCCUCAAACAAAAUCCGAAAAACUCCCCAAAAUCCAAGAGCCUUCUGAUUUUCUUUUUGUGGGCGAUUUAGGGACAAAUGAAAGGCAAGGAUUCAUUAUGAAUCACUCCACGGCUCCCAUUAAUCCAAUAAUCGAUCAAAAGAGAAUCAAAAAUGCGUUUGAGGGAAUAAAAAAAUAUUUUAUCAAAAGUUCGUUAGGCUACGUGGCAAAGGGAGAGAGGAGGGACCACGUGGGGAAAGUGAAUGAGUUAACUCGCUUGAUUCCAGCAAGUUUGGGAGUAGUGGUGCGACGGCAGAGGAGUAAAGGGGGUGGUGCGACUGGUUUGUAGAAAUUAGGUUUAGGAUUUUGA
rnacentral:lncRNA from 1 species